UUUUUUUUUUUUUUUUACCAAUUUCCUGCCAUGUUGCUUGUGAUUUUUCUUGCUGUCAUAAAAGUCAUGAACGCUACUUACUGUUGCAUUUUUUAGUUGAUUUUGAUUGUAUUAGUGCCCUCAGUGAUGGCCCCUCAUUCACCCAUACCUUCUGCUGUAUGUUCUUACUGGGCUUGGCCAUGUGACUUGUUCUGCCCAGUGGGUCAGAUCAGACAGGAUGCAAGCCAAGGUCUGAAAUGAGCUUGCAAGGUGGGCCUUGCUGUCUUGCAGCCAUAGACUACACCCCAGCUGGCCUGCUGUCCCCAGGAGAAAGGUGAGCAACAUGGAGCAGAGCCCCAGCCAGCACAGCCUGAGUCACACCAGAACCCCCUGUCACCCACAAACACAGGAGCAAGAUUAACCGAGGUCAGCAGACUCCCAACCAACCCACAGGAUCACAGCUCUAGUACUAAAUCAGGACUGUUUCAGAGCACUGAGCUUUGAGAUGGGCUGUCAAUUAUGCAGCAAUUGCUGACUGAUACAUUGACAUGCAAUCAGUCCAUCUAUUUCCAUAGGUUUAUCUUGUGUCUGGCCAUUGAUUGAACAGUUUUAUUAAUUCUGGCAGAUUUUCAAUUAAUCAUUUUCUGCCCUUCCAGACAGAUAAUAACAUCAUAUGCAGUAAAGGUCAUCUUGUCCCUUCCUUUCCUAUCCUUGUCACUCUUUUUUUUUUCUUGUCAUAUUACAUUGGCAAGGACUUUGCAAACAAUAAGUUGUAUUUGUUUUUGUGUGUGUUCUGGGUGCGUGCUGCUAUUUGUGAAUAUAAGUGUGUCCUAUUCACCCUUUGCCUUAAGAUACUUAACAAGACAUUUCUUCUUGAUGAAUACAGUGCUCUUCCCUGUGUCUCAUUACUUCUUGUACUUUUAGCAUUGUGUGUUUAUGGUUGCUUCUUUGACCUACCUGGAGCGAAUUUUCUGUGCACAGUUGGAAGAUGUUAGGAAAAGCUCUAUCUUUUCUCUUCUGUGUUAUGAAUAACCAGUGUCUCCAGAAGCCUGAGAAUGUCUGUGUCCCAGUGUCUCUGGAAGAAUGAGAACAUCUCUCUGGAUAUGACAAAUUUGUCCAAAAUCCCUCUCAUAAGGGCAGCAGAGGAGGGGGGUGCCUCAUGGGUACCCAGGCAGCAGAAGCUGGAAGUGAACUGACAUAAAUGGGACUUGAGGAUGCAAUCUGCCCCUAUCCUCAGGCGUCUGAGGGCAGCACAGAGGAAGGGUAGUGGGGAAGGAAAACAUCAGACACAUAAGAUGCCCCUCACACUCAACUCCCUGGUCACAAACUGGAGAGUCACCAGCCCCCAUCAUGAGCCCCUCUUCUGGAUGCAGGGCCUGCCCCUCUGUGGAGGUCUUAGGAGUGACAGCAUAAGAGGACAGAGACCUAGGUAGAAGUCCCAGGAGUCUGGUACUGAACAGAGCACUCCAGUGAUUAGCUUCCUGUCUGGGAAUACAAACCAAACCCAGGAAAUGUGCACGGCCUUGUAAAACCAC
rnacentral:lncRNA from 1 species